UCAAGCGAACAAGGGCGCAGGGCGAAUGCCUUGGCACUGGGAGCCGAUGAAAGACGUGAUAAGCUGCGAUAAGCUUCGGGGAGCUGCAAAUAAGCAUUGAUCCGGAGAUUUCUGAAUGAGGAAACUCACCUGGGUUCAUACUCAGGUACGUUAUACUGAACUUAAAAAUAGGUAUAUCGAGGGAACCGCCUGAACUGAAACAUCUAAGUAGGGCGAGGAAGAGACAUCAAACGAGAUUCCGUAAGUAGUGGCGAGCGAACGCGGAAGAGGGCAAACCGGAAGUAGAAAUACUUCCGGGGUACGGACCGCAUUUAGGACUUGAGUUGUUAACCGAACGGCAUGGGAAGGCCGGUCAGAGAGUGUGAGAACCACGUAGGUGAAAACGACAAGAGCUGAGCGAGUUCCAGAGUACGGCCAGACACGUGAAACCUGGUCGGAAUAUGGGGGGACCACCCUCCAACCCUAAAUACUACCCAGUGACCGAUAGCGUAUAGUACUGUGAAGGAAAGGUGAAAAGCACCCCGGGAGGGGAGUGAAAAAGAACCUGAAACCCUGUGCCUACAAGCACCUAGAGCACGUCAAUGUGUGAUAGGGUACUUUUUGUAGAACGGUCCGGCGAGCGAUUGUAUGCAGCAAGGUUAAGGACUUAAGGUCUGGAGCCGAAGCGAAAGCGAGUUUGAAAAGGGCGUUAAGUUGCAUACAAUGGGCCCGAAACCGGGUGACCUACCCAUGGUCAGGUUGAAGUGGAAGUAAAAUUCCAUGGAGGACCGAACCGACCUCCGUUGAAAAGGCGGCGGAUGAACUGUGGGUAGCGGAGAAAUUCCAAUCGAACCCGGAGAUAGCUGGUUCUCCCCGAAAUAGUUUUAGGACUAGCCUCAAGUUAGAUACCUGGAGGUAAAGCACUGAAUAGCCUAGCGGCCGAGAGGUUAGCGAAGCUUAUCAAACUCAGAAUGCCAGAGUAUUGAUGCUUGGGAGUCAGACAGUGUCAGAUAAAUGUCAUUGUCAAAAGGGAAACAGCCCAGAUCUACAGCUAAGGUCCCAAAGUCAGGUUAAGUGGAAAACGAUGUGAAGAUACGUAGACAACCAGGAUGUUGGCUCAGAAGCAGCCACACAUUCAAAGAGUGCGUAAUAGCUCACUGGUCGAGCGUCUUUGCGCGGAGAAUUUAACGGGGCUAAACCUGACACCGAAGCUUAGGCAAUACAGCAAUGUAUUGGGUAGGGGAGCGUUGUAUACGCGGUGAAACAGUAGCGCAAGCGGCUGUGGAGUGUAUAGAAGUGAGAAUGCCGGAAUGAGUAGCGCGAAUGCAGUGAGAAUCUGCAUGGCCGAAAGCCUCAGGUUUCUGGAGGAAGGUUCGUCCGCUCCAGGUUAGUCGGGAGCUAAGGUGAGGCCUAACGGCGUAGCCGAUGCACAGACGGUAGAGAUUCCGUCACCACCAAAAGAGUUAAACACAGGGACACAUUUGAAGUCUCGGAGCCGGGUGUUGGUUCCGGUAGCGAUCGAGGGAAAUUAGUACCGAAGUCCGGGAUGGAAGAUGGCGAGAAAAGCUGUGUGUAUUUCUGCGGUGCCCGUACCGCAAACCGACACAGGUAGGUAGGAAGAAGAUUCUAAGGCCAACGGGAGAAGGGUUGUUAAGGAACUCGGCAAAUUGACCCCGUAACUUCGGGAGAAGGGGUGCUCCAGAGAUGGAGCCGCAGAGAAUCGGCCCAAGCAACUGUUUACCAAAAACACAGGUUUGUGCUAAAUCGAAAGAUGACGUAUACGAGCUGACGCCUGCCCGGUGCUGGAAGGUUAAGAGGAGAUGUGCAAGCAUUGAAUCGAAGCCCCAGUGAACGGCGGCCGUAACUAUAACGGUCCUAAGGUAGCGAAAUUCCUUGUCAGGUAAGUUCUGACCCGCAUGAAAGGCGUAAUGAUUUGGGCACUGUCUCGACAGCCCGCCCGGCGAAAUUGUAGUACCGGUGAAGAUGCCGGUUACCCGCGACAAGACGGAAAGACCCCAUGGAGCUUUACUGUAGCCUAAUAUUGGGUUUCGAUGUUGCAUGCACAGGAUAGAUGGGACACAGGGAAACAAGUGCUUUGGCAUUUGUGGAGUGGCCGUUGGGAUACCAUCCUUGCGAUAUUGGAAUUCUAACCUGCGCCUUUGAAUCAAGGCGGGGGACAUUGUUAGGUGGGCAGUUUGACUGGGGCGGUCGCCUCCUAAAGAGUAACGGAGGCGUUCAAAGGUUCGCUCAGCUUGAACGGAAAUCAAGCAAAAGAGUGCAAACGCAGAAGCGAGCCUAACUGCGAGACUGACGGGUCGAGCAGUAACGAAAGUUGGAGUUAGUGAUCCGGUGGUAUGUGAGUGGAAAUGCCAUCGCUCAACGGAUAAAAGUUACCCUGGGGAUAACAGGCUGAUCUCCCCCAAGAGUCCACAUCGACGGGGAGGUUUGGCACCUCGAUGUCGGCUCAUCGCAUCCUGGGGCUGUAUUCGGUCCCAAGGGUUUGGCUGUUCGCCAAUUAAAGCGGUACGCGAGCUGGGUUCAGAACGUCGUGAGACAGUUCGGUCCCUAUCUGUCGUGGGCGCAGGAUAUUUGAUGGGAGCUGUUCCUAGUACGAGAGGACCGGAGCGGACGUACCUCUGGCGCACCAGUUGUUCUGCCAAGGGCAUAGCUGGGCAACUAUGUACGGAUCGGAUAAACGCUGAAAGCAUCUAAGCGUGAAGCCGACCCAAAGAUAAGAUAUCCCAUUGUUUCAAACAAGUAAGACCCCUUGAAGACUACAAGGUUGAUAGGCACGAUGUGUAAGUGGAGUGAUCCAUUCAGCAAGCGUGUACUAAUAGGUCGAGGGCUUGACCAC
rnacentral:rRNA from 1 species